AAAGGCCUGGGCUAAUUCAGUCCUCUACUUCACAUGGGACUAUCCCAGUCUAAGAGAAAUCAGCUUAGAAGCUGACAGUUUAUUGGAGGAAGCAGAAAGUGUCUUCAGGAAGUCACACCCAAGGCCUGGCUGCACACUGACUGUACAAGGGUUCAGAUGCAAUAAAUCAUCGAAGCAGUGCACAGACCAGCGGGUGAAGAUUCAUGUGAACAAGCAGGGCUUUUUUGUGCAGGCUUUGCGAAGGCCUUUGUUUCCAGACUGAUCUACAGACUAAUAACUAGAAGUGCACUGGAGG